CCUGGUUGCUCAGAGGUUAAAGCAUCUGCCUGCAAUGCGGGAGACCUGGGUUCGAUCCCUGGGUCAGGA
rnacentral:tRNA from 1 species